AAGUCAGAAACCAGGCAGAACAUUUCAAGAAGACCCGCCCAGCAUAACUUGAAAAAAGUGCCUUAAUUUUCAAGGAAUAACCCAAUCUCUUGGUCCCAUGUAAGUAUUCUCUUUACCUUCACUAGUUAACUUCAUAUUCUAACCAGUUCGAUUAUUGUUCACACCAACUAUGUCAUUGAAAGUUAUGAAUUUCAACACUACCUGUGUUUUGAAUACAACUGUAACCAAUUCAAAUUUUUUAUAUGUGUAUCACAUUUAAAAUGUCAAUUGAUAUUGUAACAGUAACAGUAUUCCAUAAUGAACAGUUUUGUGUUGACCCAAACAAGUUAUAGUGAUGGUGAAGAUCCUGUGCACAGUCUAAUCUAAAAGGAAGUUAUUCAAAGGUGAUGAGAAGUAGUUGCCAUAGGUUACCUGUAUGUAGAGUUAGCAUUCACUAAAAUUCUAAACUGUACCCAAAAUGAACUUCUCAAUCUUUGCUAGUUUUAGGGAUGCAACAGCACAAUAUAAAUGAUGCUACCAAAUUAGCUGCAGCACUUUCAAGCCCUGCACUAAGUAGAACAAUAUAUAGAUACCUAAUGGCUAUUGAUGGUAGUAUUUUCUGUGCACAGGAUCUUUAUCAAUAGUUGUCCACCUCAUCACGACAAAGAAGAUGUUAGAUAUGCAUGCUCUGAUUCAACAGCCUUAUAAGAAUCCAAUCAGACCAUGAAGCUUUCAACAUGUUCUGUUCUGUCCCAUGUUCUGACAGCUAAACAAUGAAUGUCUCUCCCAGUUCUCAAGCUGUAGAUAAAACUGCUGCCACUAUGGCACUUUAACCAGCUGGCAGGAAAAGGUUAAAUACAGCAUUGCAGACAAGACCAGAGUUGAAAACAUUCUCUUUGCUGCUGGUAGGUGGAAGAGGCUGUUCCACGGCUACUGCACCAGGACAGAUCCUGUAGUGCUCGUGCUGGCCAGGGGACAAAGUUGGAGACAAUGACUGUCCCCGUGAGCUGUGGUUUACAGAAAGGGUUCUGUUGCACUGUCAAAACUCGGCAGCAGUCAGUAGGCUGUCGUCCAUGGGACAGUCAUGUGAACGCCAGGAUGCAGCUCUGUAUCAACCUGGACAUGAUGUGGGUCAAUGCUGACUGAAGAAUACACCUUGCAAAGUGUCAGGAAGGCCAUGUUUCAGGGAUGUUUUUCAAUAAAAGAAUCAUUGAAGAUA